UUUUUUUUUUCUCCCUGUUUUUGGAUUUCCCGCCUGCUUAACUUGGACUGAGUCUGAUAACGAUCAAUCAAAUGGAGACUGAAUAGAAGUUUUUGGGAUUUGUAGCAGACAACAUGGGCAGCCAGCUCUCCAAAGGACCUCGACGACGGCAUCAAACAUUAUUGCUAGGAGUUUCGUGACGCAACUGCAAACCCUCUAUGUGCCUAUACAAUGCUUUCUUUUUUUUUGUUACA